AACGAACGCUGGCGGCAUGCCUAACACAUGCAAGUCGAACGAAGGCUUCGGCCUUAGUGGCGCACGGGUGCGUAACGCGUGGGAAUCUGCCCUUGGGUUCGGAAUAACGUCGGGAAACUGACGCUAAUACCGGAUGAUGACGUAAGUCCAAAGAUUUAUCGCCCAAGGAUGAGCCCGCGUCGGAUUAGCUAGUUGGUGAGGUAAAAGCUCACCAAGGCGACGAUCCGUAGCUGGUCUGAGAGGAUGAUCAGCCACACUGGGACUGAGACACGGCCCAGACUCCUACGGGAGGCAGCAGUGGGGAAUAUUGGACAAUGGGCGAAAGCCUGAUCCAGCAAUGCCGCGUGAGUGAUGAAGGCCUUAGGGUUGUAAAGCUCUUUUACCCGGGAUGAUAAUGACCGUACCGGGAGAAUAAGCUCCGGCUAACUCCGU
rnacentral:rRNA from 1 species